rnacentral:rRNA from 1 species
UGGUGGAGUGAUUUGUCUGGUUAAUUCCGAUAACGAACGAGACCUUAACCUGCUAAAUAGCCAGGCCGGCUUUUGCUGGUCGCCGGCUUCUUAGAGGGACUGUCAGUGUCUAACUGACGGAAGUUUGAGGCAAUAACA